rnacentral:rRNA from 1 species
GACGAACGCUGGCGGCGUGCUUAACACAUGCAAGUCGAACGGAAAGGCCCUGCUUUUGUGGGGUGCUCGAGUGGCGAACGGGUGAGUAACACGUGAGUAACCUGCCCUUGACUUUGGGAUAACUUCAGGAAACUGGGGCUAAUACCGGAUAGGAGCUCCUGCUGCAUGGUGGGGGUUGGAAAGUUUCGGCGGUUGGGGAUGGACUCGCGGCUUAUCAGCUUGUUGGUGGGGGAGUGGCUUACCAAGGCUUUGACGGGUAGCCGGCCUGAGAGGGUGACCGGCCACAUUGGGCCUGAGAUACGGCCCGGCCUCCUACGGGAGGCAGCAGUGGGGAAUAUUGCACAAUGGGCGGAAGCCUGAUGCAGCAACGCCGCGUGCGGGAUGACGGCCUUCGGGUUGUAAACCGCUUUCGCCUGUGACGAAGCGUGAGUGACGGUAAUGGGUAAAGAAGCACCGGCUAACUACGUG